rnacentral:rRNA from 1 species
CGACUUGGAGGUUGUUCCCUUGAGGAGUGGCUUCCCGAGCUAACGCGUUAAGUCGACCGCCUGGGGAGUACGGCCGCAAGGUUAAAACUCAAAUGAAUUGACGGGGGCCCGCACAAGCGGUGGAGCAUGUGGUUUAAUUCGAUGCAACGCGAAGAACCUUACCUACUCUUGACAUCCAGAGAACUUAGCAGAGAUGCUUUGGUGCCUUCGGGAACUCUGAGACAGGUGCUGCAUGGCUGUCGUCAGCUCGUGUUGUGAAAUGUUGGGUUAAGUCCCGCAACGAGCGCAACCCUUAUCCUUUGUUGCCAGCGAUUCGGUCGGGAACUCAAAGGAGACUGCCGGUGAUAAACCGGAGGAAGGUGGGGAUGACGUCAAGUCAUCAUGGCCCUUACGAGUAGGGCUACACACGUGCUACAAUGGCGCAUACAAAGAGAAGCGACCUCGCGAGAGCAAGCGGACCUCACAAAGUGCGUCGUAGUCCGGAUCGGAGUCUGCAACUCGACUCCGUGAAGUCGGAAUCGCUAGUAAUCGUGGAUCAGAAUGCCACGGUGAAUACGUUCCCGGGCCUUGUACACACCGCCCGUCACACCAUGGGAGUGGGUUGCAAAAGAAGUAGGUAGCUUAACCUUCGGGAGGGCGCUUACCACUUUGUGAUUCAUGACUGGGGUGAAGUCGUAACAAGGUAUC